CGCCGCUGGGGGAAUAACAACAAGAUCGAUAGGCUAAAGCCGCUAAACACGAAAUCAACAAGCGUUCAAUUGAUACCAUUCCAUGUGUCAAUGCACAUGCUUCCUAAAGUGAAGCGGUAUUCGGCGCGUAAGUAUGCGGUGCAUUGACUGUCAGACACGUUUGUUUCGUAUUCCGCAUCUCAAACCAACCAAAAUGUAUUAAAAUUCGUCUAUUUUAUAACAACAUUCUGGUGUAUUUAUAUUUGUCGAUCAAAAAUUCCAAUGACAAUUUUAUUACUACCUUGAGGUUAGCCGCAGAGUAAAGGCUUCAGAUUACGCCUCAGAUUUGGCGUUGGAUUGGGUUUCAAUCAGGCCUUACAUUAAACUGUAUUCAAUCGCUCAAAAGUAGAAUUAUAAAACUUCUUUUUCAGCUAUUUCACAAAAUUAAUUUGACCUGCAUACAUUUUCAAUACUUUACUGUUCAAAACUUAAGAAAGCAAGCUCAUUUGUGAACGAAAUUUGAGACUUAAAACUCUGCACAUGACACAUGUUUAUGCACAUUUGCGAUAAAUCGGCAAGAUGGAUAUCAGGAAAGAUUGGUACGAUACCAUGUAUGCCUACGUUUUUGAAAAUUGAAAAUCCUUUGAUGUACCAUUAUUUACUGCAUAUAAUCUAUUUUGACUACCACAUACAUAUUCUUACAAUUUCUUCCUGCUAAUAUCAUGCAUGCAUGACUGGAUGUUCGAUCGCAAAAUUUUGGUCUUGCUAUUUUGAAUUAAAGUAAUGAAUAAGCUAUUUUUCUGAGAGUAAUGUCACAUAAUUCGAGAAAGUUCCACUGAUCAUAAUUGAAAUAAAAUAAGUGUGGUUAACAAAUAAAUGUCGUGCAAAACGUAUUUUGAACACAUUAACUUUAUAAAAAAAAAAAUAAAUAAAUAAAUAAAUAAAAAUAAAUAAAAUGUGCCUCGAUAGUGAGCUUUGUUUGUCGUGUUACCAACCCUCCAAUUAAAAAAAUGUAAGAUAGAAGCUUUGUGGGGAAGCUGCUGGUUGUCUUGGCCCCAUCCAGGUUUCCUGUAUAUUCCAGGUUUUUUCUGGCCUCCCUGACUAUCCAGCUAUAGUAUGAGUGAUGGUAACGACCAAAUAUAUGUCUAACUAUCAUCUGGCAGCAGCUGUCUUGUAUACAAAUACAGCUGUGGUGGGAGUUCGUCUAUGGGGAAUACACAUGCUGUGUAUUUGUGGGGUUGAAGUGUUCCCAAUGGUCAACUUCAGGCCCAUAGACUCAGGUUUUUUAUGUAAAUAUAAUCAGUCGAAUCGUAGGUACUGUCCAAGGGGAUUAUCACCCCUUGGUUCAGGUCUAUGUCAGAGGGGGUCGCUACCCUUCGGGCAGAGCUCCUAUGGAGCAUUCAGUCUCUCCUAGCAGGUCUUAUAUAUACGCCUGCGGGAUGAAAACAUAAGGCUUAAUGAGCCUUUGGGUUGACCAGAGUUUGAGAGUAUAAUGUAUAUAAUUGGUUCACUUCACCCUGAACCCAUUCUCCCACAAUGAUUUGGCGUGUGUUUUACUUAUUUUCGGGCUGUUCUUUCACCUAACGUGCUUGAAUUAUUAAAGCAAAUUUAUAUAUAACAAUAUAUAAAUUCAAGUUAAUGAGACAACACGUUUGUCACCUUCAAACCUAGUUAUAAUCUCACAGUAACAGGAUAAGCUUGUCAACAGCCACAAAAAGGCGAUAUCCAAUAGUCCAAAGUUCAAAUGUUUCUCUGGGCAUGUGUAAAACCGAAUGAAAGAUCAACUGACCAAUCAUAUGUCAACAACGAACACUCAGAACAAAGGUCAAUGUGAUAAGGGAGUUCACUUUGACAAAUAUCCCAACAAAGAGCAAUGUCUUGUUACCGAGAAAGAAAAUUUCCACCCACCCACCCGUUCAUGUUCCUGAUAUCUGGUGCAUUGUAUGGGUACUAACUAAUGUUAUGCAAGGACUGUUCAAGAACAAUUUGUCGGGAAAGACUAUCGAACAAUUUUCUCAUGGAAAAUUAUCGCUAUGUAAAUACUUAAGUGUUCAAACAAAUAAAUUUUGGUUCGGGGUUGAAGUGUUCCCAAUGGUCAACUUCAGGCCCAUAGACUCAGGUUAUUUAUGUAAAUAUAAUCAGUCGAAUCGUAGGUACUGUCCAAGGGGAUUAUCACCCCUUGGUUCAGGUCUAUGUCAGAGGGGGUCGCUAC
rnacentral:lncRNA from 1 species